rnacentral:rRNA from 1 species
UACAGAGGUCCCGAGCGUUGUUCGGAUUCACUGGGCGUAAAGGGUGCGCAGGUGGGUUGGCAAGUUCGAUGUGAAAGCCCCGGGCUUAACCCGGGAAUGGCAUUGGAUACUGCUGAUCUGGAGGAUCGGAGGGGGAACUGGAAUUCUUGGUGUAGCAGUGAAAUGCGUAGAUAUCAAGAGGAACACCAGUGGCGAAGGCGAGUCCCUGGACGAUACCUGACACUGAGGCACGAAAGCCAAGGGAGCAAACAGG